UUGGCACAUAACAUGUACCAAAAUAUAACUUCAUGUAAAGCCAUUUGCAGUUUUUGCAAACCUUGGAAGAAUUACAAGAAAACUGUUGCAGUGCAGUACUUCGCAUCUAGGAUAGGAGUUCCCACCAGUCUUGAGGUUCUUCUUCUAAUAUUGGAAUGAGUCCGUGCACAGUCGCCUCCCAAAUAGGCUCCUCUAACUUUCUCAGCCCUUUUCCUGCUCUUGAAAUUAGCAGUUGUUUGACUGUCCAAUAGUAAAAAUGCAUAUUGAUACUGAAGCUGGUUUGUGAAUAUCCUGUUCUCUUUUCUUCUAAAAUUACAGGUUGCAAUGUUAGACUUUGUCCCUUCUCUCUUUUUUUUCUUAUUUCUUCAUUCAACAAUCACUAAGCAGCUUCUUUGUGUGAAACACCCGUCUUGGCUCCAGGGAUGCUGCACCGAACCAUGUAGAUCUCAGUUGUGAAUUGCUCUUAGGAACAUUGUGCUUUGAGAAUGAAUUCAUUCCAUUACUCGCAGAGUUCAUCCCCACAUGCCUCAUUACGGCAGAGCUUAAUUAUCAUUAAUGUAAUAUUGCUUUGUAUACUUAUUCAUUACACACACAAUUAGUAAUGUUAUCUUUCUUAGACAAAAUACUUUAACAAGCCCAAUUACUAAGCUGUCGAAAGGACACGUAUAAAUGUUUGUAAAUAAAUAGGGGUUGGGAAGAUACAAGAUGAUUGUGACAAAUGUCUAUCCCUGAAACAUGAUAAUCAUUGAAAAGCAUUACAUUUGUUUUGAGGAAACUGUAGUUUCUUUGAAGAGGAAAAAUGUGUAGCAGCUGGAAUAAGAGGUACGCAUAGCAUGAGAACAGUACCUGACUCCACAGCAAGUCAGUUUUGCUUCUUGCGAUUUGCUGCUCCACUGUGACUAUAGUUUGCUGACCAGCUGCGCCUGCGCCUUGUUAUGAUUUGUUCUGACAGCCAAUCAUUGUUCUUUUCCUUUGACAGGGUCGGUUCCUCUUCCUCACCACGCAUCUCAGUUUUAUCUACUUACCUGUUUGAGUUUGCGCUACUAUUUUCUUAGCAUUUCUCUUACCAUUUCUGAGAUCUUACAUCGGCUGUUUUGCACGUGUCUUAAAUGUGGUUAGGUAAAUAAAUGCACAGAGACCUGUCAGUUUCUGACCACCAGCUAGGCACCUGUUCGUGUCGGCAAUUGUCACCUUUUUUUUUUUUUGUACUGUACUGCUUUUUUUUUUUUUGAGACAGGAUCUCACUUUAUUGUUGGAAUUCGGUGAUGUGGUCAUGGCUCACUGCAGCCUUGACCUCCUGGGCCUAAGCUGUCCUCCUGCCUCAGGCUUCUGAGUAGCUGGGACUACAGGUGCCUGCCUGCCACACCUUGGCUAAAUUUUGGGGUUUUAUUGUAGAGUCAAGAUCUCAUUAUGUUUCCCAGGCUGGUCUCAGACGCCUGAGCUCAAGUGAUCCUCCUGCUUGGGCCUUCCCAAGUGCUGGGAUUACAGGAAUGAGCCACCACACCCAGCCCAUUGUAAUUUUCAUAUACUCACCAAGGCUGGCUCUCAUUGGUCAUAUGAAAUUAUGUAACCACAUAAAAACAAUGCCUAGUGCAGUCCAAGGGAAGCAGAUGCUACUGUUUUACAGAAAGGGAUAUUAGUAAACCCAUUAUGUCCAAGGAAGUGAUGUGUGCAGUAUUAGUUGGAUGUGUGUUUUCUGUUACUGGUACCAUUUCUGGAUUUGAUGCAUAUAUUAGUUAUGCAAAAUACAAACUUUACUCCACAUACAAAGGAAAGAAGAGAAGACAGUAUGGUGAGGUAGAAAAGAAUGAGCUUUAAAAACAGAUGGGUGUGGAUUUACAUCUCUGCUUUACUUCUUCCUACUAUAAGCUUCAUUUUUUUUACCUGUAAAAUGAGGAUAAUGAAACAAAGGUCAUAGAAUACAACAUACUAGUUUCUCACUUUUUUCUUCCUUUGAACCAAAAAAGAAACCACAUAUGUUCAAAACAUGUACCACUCAACACUCGAAGAUGGAAAUAGCUUAAAGUACCAAACUUGAGAUUGAGGUAUUGGGGGAUGGAGAUUAUUAAAUUUCCUUGUUCAGAUGAAACAUAAUUAACAUAAUCAGUUUGGAACUUUUUUCAUGUCUAAUUCACUUUCUAGUCCUAAAAUAAUGUUGUGCAAAUUAUUGGCACGUUGUUUCAUUUUCAUGCUUAAUUAAAAAAAAAAAAACUUCUCCUUGUACUUAAAUGCCUAUUUAGUUCCAUUUGGGCCAUUUUCUUUGAACUAAAUGCAAAUGAGGGAGGUUGCAUCUAUUUCAUAAUCUCCCUUUAAUCAAGAUCACUACGAAGCAUCAGCCCCCUGGGUGAUGGGUGACAUAAAUCAUAUUAACUUAAUUCUGUGUGUUUCAUUAAAGGAUUUGGUAUUUUUAUGAACCAGAAUAUCUAGGUCACUGCCAUAGAAGCUUCAAUCAAGCUGCGGAUCUCAUGGAGUCAAUGACGUGUUGCUUAUUUGAUGAGAUGAAGAUGAAGUGCCGACUCCCACCUCAUACUGGCCUCAUUAAUACAUGGUUGCUUUAAGAGUUCAUGAGUUUGGAAGAGACAGUUGGGUCCUGGCCCCAGGGAACAAAGAAGAAAUCCAGAUCUUAUACAGUGUGCUGGACAUAUAACAAUUUUUGCAUUCUUUCCCCCCUCACCAUUGAAAUCUAUGAUUUCUCUAUUCAAUGUUUUCUCAGCAAUCCAAAAAGGCAAGGCCAGCAGCAUGCAAUCUGAAGAAUCCUGCCUCUAUAUCCUUCUCCACUUAACACUGUCUACCAUGGAGUCAUUUGGUUUCUUUUUUAUUCCUAGAAGAUGAAGAAAUGAUGACAUCCCAAACCUCAUAAUUUGUCUAUACUUCCACUCAGGCACUUCUGCACAGUAUCUAAAUAUUUAUGUUUCUUUGUCAAAUGACAGGCAAGAAUGUUUCUGUAAUAUUUAUGAGAACAUAGGAGUUGUUAAGAGAAGAAUCUUUGCCUCCUACAGAAGGGACAUAAGAAAAGCUCGGAAGAAAGGUUGAGCCCACAGUUUACAAAGGUUUCAAACAUCUAGGUGAUUAUCAUCAUACGGUAAGAGCAUUUGACCGGAUUGUAUGCAGCUAAAAUUACUACCCAGCAUCACGUAAAUGCAGUGUUAGAAGGAUUUCAUAAAUUAGGAAAUCUGGAAGCAUCUGGGAGAGUGGAUGGUUCACUUUGGGUGGCAAGGAUGGCAGAUAUGAGGUUUUCACUGGAAAAUAAGCCAAUUACACAUGCCAUUUCCUUUCCUCAAAAUCUCCAGGGUCACUGCUGGACAUAGAACUUUGGAAUGGGAAGAAACUUCCAGAGCUCUGUCCUCUUCCAGAUGAUCAGAAUACAGCGAGAAACAGGCCCGAGACUGAACCCCUGGUGUUCGGCGUCACUGGCAGUCAGCGUUCACUUCUCUCCAAAAGGCACAAUGCCUCCCUUAUGAAGAAGCCAAAGAAACAGUCAUCCACAAGUCACUUGGAAGUGUCCACUAUCACCUGGGUUGUCAUAAGAUUUAUUUUAUUCAACUGUGAAACCAUAGAGCUCUAGAACAAGCUCGUCUUGUCUAAUCCGCAGCCUGCAGGACGCACGCCGUGCAUCGACAACUACAGAACCUGUCAAAGCCAAAAUACCAUUUGGGGCUAUGCCAGAUGUUUCCCCACCAGGUCAGAAAGAGUCUUGCUCUUGUUGCCUAGGCUGGAGUGAAGUGCUGCGAUUUGGGCUCACUGCAACGUCUGCCUCCCGGGUUCAAGCGAUUCUCCUGCCUCAGCCUCCCAAGUAAGCUGCCUAGAGGUCUAGUCAGUAUCAUUUGCAAACAUGGCCUGAGUUCCUGGGGGAUCAGUUCCUGGGGUCAUUCCCUCCCCUUCAAAGGCAAAAUGUGACUAUUUCUGAUGGUCCCCAAGAAGACAAACCCAGGCUGAUUUUAGUACUUUACAUUACAGACACACGCCACCACACCUGGCUAAUCUUUGUAUUUUUAGUAGAGACAGGGUUUCACCAUGUUGGCCAGGCUGGUCUCAAACUCUUGAUCUCAGGUAAUCCAUCUGCCUUGGCCUCCCAAAGUGCUGGGAUUACAGGCGUGAGCCACCACGCCCAGCUCAUCUCUUUCU